rnacentral:rRNA from 1 species
UACGUAGGGCGCAAGCGUUAAUCGGAAUUACUGGGCGUAAAGCGUGCGCAGGCGGUUUUGUAAGUCUGACGUGAAAUCCCCGGGCUCAACCUGGGAAUUGCGUUGGAGACUGCAAGGCUAGAAUCUGGCAGAGGGGGGUAGAAUUCCACGUGUAGCAGUGAAAUGCGUAGAGAUGUGGAGGAACACCGAUGGCGAAGGCAGCCCCCUGGGUCAA